AUAUGUGUGUGUGCAUGUGUAUGUAUAUGUACACACACAUAUAUACAUACAUUUAUACACACACAAACAUGCAUAUCACAGUAACA
rnacentral:miRNA from 1 species